UUAAAUUGAAGAGUUUGAUCAUGGCUCAGAUUGAACGCUGGCGGCAGGCCUAACACAUGCAAGUCGAACGGUAGCACAGAGAGCUUGCUCUCGGGUGACGAGUGGCG
rnacentral:rRNA from 3 species